GAGAUGCCCAGUCUCUCGGUUCUGGCCGCAGCAGGACAGGUCUCCUUGGGGGCCGGACAGGGACCUGUCAGCUCCUGAUUGCCGAGCACGCUUCCCCCUCCUUUCUCCCGUGUCCUCCACAGGCCCACUCUGGCUCCGCCUGCACUCCAGCGAGUAGGGAACCGGCCAGAUCGCCUGGAAUCCAGCUGGGAAUUGGAAAGAAUCCUGAUUCAUCGGAGGGCCUGGGCUGCCAAGAAAAUUCUCUUGAAGGCUUUGUUUUCUUCAGCGGCUGCUUCCCAGGGGCAAGCCGCCUGCCCUCCUGGGAGUCCCGCCCACUCCAAGGACAAGCUUCUCCCUCGUGACCACCCUGUGCUGGAGAGAUGCUGAGUCCCUACCGCUCUUGGGAAAAGCUGCAACUUCUGACCCUGGCUUCCAAGAUCGUCUUCAGUCGGUUUCUGAUACCCUCCAAUCUUAUCACACACACCACGUAUCAAGCAUGAAUGGGCGACUCCGCUUCAGUGUCUGUGGGUUUUUGGUUUUGUUUUUUGCCACGACCAUCCUUAAGGACCCUUCCGGGAGGCAGUCUUAUCCAGAAAGCAUCCCAAUGUAGAAGUUACAAAGUACCUGUUUUGGGUCUGCCCUGACUGUGGCCCCUUGGACGUUUGCUCUAACAUUUCUGGGCCUCAGUUUCCUGCAGUGUCAUUUGACCUUGUCGUGGAUGGACGGAGCAUGACCCCAUCAAGGAAGGGUGAAGCCAGGCGGUACAGGCUUGCCGAGAGGACAGAGUCAACCAAAAGGCGGGAAGGCUCUCUCGUAAAUUAAGGAAGGGGAUGCAGCAUCGCGCGUUGCAGGAGACGUCCCGCUUGCCUGACGCCCGGCAGGGCCUGACCUUGGACCUAACCCCACGAGAUGAUGAGGCAAGAGCCAAGGGCCGGUCGUUCCAGCUGGCUUCCUCCAACCCAAUCCACACCAUGGUCAAGGUGGGUGCGGAGUAAGGACUCCAGGCUGUCCCAGGCCACCUUCCCUGGCAUCCUGCCAGCCGUCACCCCGGUGGUCGACAAAGCCACUGGCCUCUGUCUGGCGUGCGUCUCCGCGUCAGCACAGCCGUCCCGGACCCGGGCCAGGCCUCUCGGUCUCCUGAACCUGAUCGCACAAUGGUUCUCUUGCUAUUGCCCGCAUUAAAAAAAAAAA